GGUCAAUGAUGUGAUUUGUAAAAGGUCUGAUAUCCAGGUCUCCUCCCAGUCCUGUCCUCCCAGCAGCCGCUCUUAAUUUUCCCAGCAUGCUCUAGCUGUGCAUCACUGGUUUUAGUGGCGGCUGAUAGAUAUAAUGGACGUUCUUGCUGAAUACGAGUCUUUUAGAGAAGCAAGCGAGACGUCGACGGCAGCGUCCAACAGAAACACAACAUUCAGGAGUGAAGGAUUGGGAAGAGGACGUUAAACUGGUGCAUGAUCUCAAGUUUUCAAGCUGAGACC